rnacentral:rRNA from 1 species
UACAGAGGUCUCAAGCGUUGUUCGGAUUCAUUGGGCGUAAAGGGUGCGUAGGCGGCGCGGUAAGUCGGGUGUGAAAUCUCGGGGCUUAACUCCGAAACUGCAUUCGAUACUGCCGUGCUUGAGGACUGGAGAGGAGACUGGAAUUUACGGUGUAGCGGUGAAAUGCGUAGAUAUCGAGAGGAACACCUGCGGCGAAGGCGGGUUGCUGGGCUGACACUGACGCUGAAGCGCGAAAGCUAGGGGAGCGAACGGG